rnacentral:rRNA from 1 species
GUGGGGAAUAUUGCACAAUGGGCGAAAGCCUGAUGCAGCAACGCCGCGUGAGGGACGACGGCCUUCGGGUUGUAAACCUCUUUUAGUAGGGAAGAAGCGAAAGUGACGGUACCUGCAGAAAAAGCACCGGCUAACUACGUGCCAGCAGCCGCGGUAAUACGUAGGGUGCAAGCGUUAUCCGGAAUUAUUGGGCGUAAAGAGCUCGUAGGCGGUCUGUCGCGUCUGCUGUGAAAACUGGCGGCUCAACCUCCAGCCUGCAGUGGGUACGGGCAGGCUAGAGUGCGGUAGGGGUGAUUGGAAUUCCUGGUGUAGCGGUGGAAUGCGAAGAUAUCAGGAGGAACACCGAUGGCAAAGGCAGAUCUCUGGGCCGUAACUGACGCUGAGGAGCGAAAGCGUGGGGAGCGAACAGGAUUAGAUACCCGAGUAGUCC